rnacentral:rRNA from 1 species
AUUGAACGCUGGCGGCAUGCUUUACACAUGCAAGUCGAACGGUAACAGGCCGCAAGGUGCCGACGAGUGGCGCACGGGUGCGUAAUGCAUCGGAACGUGCCCAGUCGUGGGGGAUAACUACUCGAAAGAGUAGCUAAUACCGCAUACGAUCUAUGGAUGAAAGCGGGGGACCGUAAGGCCUCGCGCGAUUGGAGCGGCCGAUGUCAGAUUAGGUAGUUGGUGGGGUAAAGGCUCACCAAGCCAACGAUCUGUAGCUGGUCUGAGAGGACGACCAGCCACACUGGGACUGAGACACGGCCCAGACUCCUACGGGAGGCAGCAGUGGGGAAUUUUGGACAAUGGGCGCAAGCCUGAUCCAGCAAUGCCGCGUGCAGGAAGAAGGCCUUCGGGUUGUAAACUGCUUUUGUACGGAACGAAACGGCUCUGGUUAAUACCCGGGGCUAAUGACGGUACCGUAAGAAUAAGCACCGGCUAACUACGUG